CGGUAACAGGAAGAAGCUUGCUUCUUUGCUGACGAGUGGCGGACGGGUGAGUAAUGUCUGGGAAACUGCCUGAUGGAGGGGGAUAACUACUGGAAACGGUAGCUAAUACCGCAUAACGUCGCAAGACCAAAGAGGGGGACCUUCGGGCCUCUUGCCAUCGGAUGUGCCCAGAUGGGAUUAGCUAGUAGGUGGGGUAACGGCUCACCUAGGCGACGAUCCCUAGCUGGUCUGAGAGGAUGACCAGCCACACUGGAACUGAGACACGGUCCAGACUCCUACGGGAGGCAGCAGUGGGGAAUAUUGCACAAUGGGCGCAAGCCUGAUGCAGCCAUGCCGCGUGCAUGAAGAAGGCCUUCGGGUUGUAAAGUACUUUCAGCGGGGAGGAAGGGAGUAAAGUUAAUACCUUUGCUCAUUGACGUUACCCGCAGAAGAAGCACCGGCUAACUCCGUGCCAGCAGCCGCGGUAAUACGGAGGGUGCAAGCGUUAAUCGGAAUUACUGGGCGUAAAGCGCACGCAGGCGGUUUGUUAAGUCAGAUGUGAAAUCCCCGGGCUCAACCUGGGAACUGCAUCUGAUACUGGCAAGCUUGAGUCUCGUAGAGGGGGGUAGAAUUCCAGGUGUAGCGGUGAAAUGCGUAGAGAUCUGGAGGAAUACCGGUGGCGAAGGCG
rnacentral:rRNA from 1 species